GAUGAACGCUGGCGGCGUGCCUAAUACAUGCCAGUCGAGCGAACAGACGAGGAGCUUGCUCCUCUGACGUUAGCGGCGGACGGGUGAGUAACACGUGGAUAACCUACCUAUAAGACUGGGAUAACUUCGGGAAACCGGAGCUAAUACCGGAUAAUAUAUCGAACCGCAUGGUUCAAUAGUGAAAGACGGCUUUGCUAUCACUUAUAGAUGGAUCUGCGCCGCAUUAGCUAGUUGGUAAGGUAACGGCUUACCAAGGCGACGAUGCGUAGCCGACCUGAGAGGGUGAUCGGCCACACUGGAACUGAGACACGGUCCAGACUCCUACGGGAGGCAGCAGUAGGGAAUCUUCCGCAAUGGGCGAAAGCCUGACGGAGCAACGCCGCGUGAGUGAUGAAGGUCUUCGGAUCGUAAAACUCUGUUAUUAGGGAAGAACAAAUGUGUAAGUAACUGUGCACGUCUUGACGGUACCUAAUCAGAAAGCCACGGCUAACUACGUG
rnacentral:rRNA from 1 species